AUUGAACGCUAGCGGGAUGCCUUACACAUGCAAGUCGAACGAGUGGCGGACGGGUGAGUAAUAUAUCGGAACGUGCCCAGUAGCGGGGGAUAACUACUCGAAACGGUGGCUAAUACCGCAUCCAAUUGGAUCGGCCGAUCUUGGAUUAGCGAGUGGGUGGGGUACAGGCUCACCUAGGCAACGAUCCGUAGCUGUUUUGAGAGGAAGACCAGCCACACGGGGACUGGGACACGGUCCAGACUCCUACGGGAGGCAGCAGUGGGGAAUAUUGGACAAUGGGGGAAACCCUGAUCCAGCCAUGCCGCGUGUAUGAGAAGGCCUUCGGGUUGUAAAGUACUUUUGGCAGAGAAGCGGUAUCUGCAGAAUAAGCACCGGCUAACUCCGUGCCAGCAGCCGCGGUAAUAC
rnacentral:rRNA from 1 species